AUUGAACGCUGGCGGCAUGCCUUACACAUGCAAGUCGAACGGUAACGGGCCUUCGGGUGCCGACGAGUGGCGAACGGGGGAGUAAUACAUCGGAACGUGCCCGAUCGUGGGGGAUAACGAGGCGAAAGCUUUGCUAAUACCGCAUACGAUCUACGGAUGAAAGCAGGGGACCGCAAGGGCUUGCGCGGACGGAGCGGCCGCUGGUAGAUUAGGUAGUUGGUGAGAUAAAAGCUUACCAAGCCGACGAUCAGUAGCUGGUCUGAGAGGAUGAUCAGCCACACUGGGACUGAGACACGGCCCAGACUCCUACGGGAGGCAGCAGUGGGGAAUUUUGGACAAUGGGCGCAAGCCUGAUCCAGCCAUGCCGCGUGCAGGAUGAAGGCCUUCGGGUUGUAAACUGCUUUUGUACGGAACGAAAAGCCUUCUUUUAAUACAGGAGGGUCAUGACGGUACCGUAAGAAUAAGCACCGGCUAACUACGUG
rnacentral:rRNA from 1 species